rfam:Aedes albopictus isolate Foshan contig19308, whole genome shotgun sequence.
CUCCGGUUAGCCUAGUGGUUAAGGCUAUGGGUCGCCAAUCCGGAGACGGCGGGUUAGAUUCCCGUUCCAGACG